UGCAGCAGGACCUUUCUGAAUGGUGUACAUGUGGAAAUUGCGCCACAAUGCCUUCGGAACCUGAGAAUGUGUGCUGCAUUGAGAUACCACAGGUGUCAAGACGGAUGCAGGAACUUGAGGACUCGGUGCGUUGUAUGGUGGACCAUCCUGG